rnacentral:rRNA from 1 species
GACGAACGCUGGCGGCGUGCUUAACACAUGCAAGUCGAGCGGAAAGGCUCCUUCGGGGGUACUCGAGCGGCGAACGGGUGAGUAACACGUGAGUAAUCUGCCCUGGACUCUGGGAUAGCCACCGGAAACGGUGAUUAAUACCGGAUAUGACCACUUUACGCAUGUUUGGUGGUGGAAAGUUUUUUCGGUUCAGGAUGUGCUCGCGGCCUAUCAGCUUGUUGGUGAGGUAAUGGCUCACCAAGGCUUUGACGGGUAGCCGGCCUGAGAGGGUGACCGGUAACCGUGGGACUGAGACACGGCCCAGACUCCUACGGGAGGCAGCAGUGGGGAAUAUUGGACAAUGGGCGGAAGCCUGAUCCAGCAAUGCCGCGUGUGUGAAGAAGGCCUUCGGGUUGUAAAGCACUUUCAGUAGGGAGGAAGCGUUGUGUGUUAAUAGUACACAGCGUUGACGUUACCUACAGAAGAAGCACCGGCUAAGUUCGUGC